GCCUCUUUGGCUCAGAUGGCAGAGCGUCCCCCUAGUAAGGGGAAGGUCAGUGGUUUGAUUCUGCUAAGAGGCA